ACGACGCGACCUACUUGAAAGAAACGUUAUGGUGUUACUUGGGACCAAUACUUAUUGCAGCGGUGAUCUGCCUGAUUUUUUGUUAUGCGAUUCGUUGGAUUGCAACACCAGCCGUCUGGUUUUCAAUAUUUGUUAUCGUCGCUCUAUUCGCUUGCGUUUCAAUUCUCGGUUUUAUGCACUACAGCACUUCCGUCAAUGAUAAUUAUACUGGACUUGUCAUUGGUAUUAUAUUUAUGAUAAUUACAGCUGUGAUUGUUAGCUACAUUUACUGCCAACGGCAGCAUGUUUUUGUUGCAAUAGCACUGAUCAAAGAAGGAAGCAAAGCGGUGGCAUCGUCCUACUCUACCAUAUUCUUGCCGAUCAUACCAAGUCUUUUCCACUUCGCCUUCUUCGCUCUGUUUGCAAGUGUCUUG